UGGGGAAUUUUGGACAAUGGGCGCAAGCCUGAUCCAGCAAUGCCGCGUGCAGGAUGAAGGCCUUCGGGUUGUAAACUGCUUUUGUACGGAACGAAACGGCUCUGUCUAAUACAUGGGGCUAAUGACAGUACCGUAAGAAUAAGCACCGGCUAACUACGUGCCAGCAGCCGCGGUAAUACGUAGGGUGCAAGCGUUAAUCGGAAUUACUGGGCGUAAAGCGUGCGCAGGCGGUUAUAUAAGACAGAUGUGAAAUCCCCGGGCUCAACCUGGGAACUGCGCUUGUGACUGAACGACUAGAGUACGGCAGAGGGAGGUGGAAUUCCGCGUGUAGCAGUGAAAUGCGUAGAUAUGCGGAGGAACACCGAUGGCGAAGGCAGCCUCCUGGGCCAGUACUGACGCUCAUGCACGAAAGCGUGGGGAGCAAGCA
rnacentral:rRNA from 1 species